rnacentral:rRNA from 1 species
GGCUCAGGACGAACGCUGGCGGCGUGCUUAACACAUGCAAGUCGAACGAUGAAGCCUAGCUUGCUGGGUGGAUUAGUGGCGAACGGGUGAGUAACACGUGAGUAACCUGCCCUUGACUCUGGGAUAAGCGCUGGAAACGGCGUCUAAUACCGGAUAUGACCUGCCCCGGCAUCGGGUGUGGGUGGAAAGUUUUUCGGUCAAGGAUGGACUCGCGGCCUAUCAGCUUGUUGGUGAGGUAAUGGCUCACCAAGGCGACGACGGGUAGCCGGCCUGAGAGGGUGACCGGCCACACUGGGACUGAGACACGGCCCAGACUCCUACGGGAGGCAGCAGUGGGGAAUAUUGCACAAUGGGCGAAAGCCUGAUGCAGCAACGCCGCGUGGGGGAUGACGGCCUUCGGGUUGUAAACCUCUUUUAGUAGGGAAGAAGGGCUUCGGCUGAC